GACGAACGCUGGCGGCGUGCUUAACACAUGCAAGUCGAACGGAAAGGCCCUGCUUUUGUGGGGUGCUCGAGUGGCGAACGGGUGAGUAACACGUGAGUAACCUGCCCUUGACUUUGGGAUAACUUCAGGAAACUGGGGCUAAUACCGGAUAGGAGCUCCGGCUGCAUGGUGGGGGUUGGAAAGUUUCGGCGGUUGGGGAUGGACUCGCGGCUUAUCAGCUUGUUGGUGGGGUAGUGGCUUACCAAGGCUUUGACGGGUAGCCGGCCUGAGAGGGUGACCGGCCACAUUGGGACUGAGAUACGGCCCAGCCUCCUACGGGAGGCAGCAGUGGGGAAUAUUGCACAAUGGGCGGAAGCCUGAUGCAGCAACGCCGCGUGCUGGAUGACGGCCUUCGGGUUGUAACCCGCUUUCGCCUGUGACGAAGCGUGAGUGACGGUAAUGGGUAAAGAAGCACCGGCUAACUCCGUG
rnacentral:rRNA from 1 species